UAGGGAAUCUUCCACAAUGGACGAAAGUCUGAUGGAGCAACGCCGCGUGAGUGAAGAAGGUUUUCGGAUCGUAAAGCUCUGUUGUUGGUGAAGAAGGAUAGAGGCAGUAACUGGUCUUUAUUUGACGGUAAUCAACCAGAAAGUUACGGCUAACUACGUGCCAG
rnacentral:rRNA from 1 species